rnacentral:rRNA from 1 species
UACAGAGGUCUCAAGCGUUGUUCGGAUUCAUUGGGCGUAAAGGGUGCGUAGGCUGCGGAGUAAGUCAGGUGUGAAAUCUCGGGGCUCAACCCCGAAACUGCACUUGAUACUGCUUCGCUCGAGUACUGGAGAGGAGACUGGAAUUUACGGUGUAGCAGUGAAAUGCGUAGAUAUCGUAAGGAAGACCAGUGGCGAAGGCGAGUCUCUGGACAGUUACUGACGCUGAGGCACGAAGGCCAGGGGAGCAAACGGG